rnacentral:rRNA from 1 species
GACGAACGCUGGCGGCGUGCUUAACACAUGCAAGUCGAACGCUGAAGCUCAGCUUUUGUUGGGUGGAUGAGUGGCGAACGGGUGAGUAACACGUGAGUAACCUGCCUCCUUCUUUGGGAUAACGCCUGGAAACGGGUGCUAAUACUGGAUAUUCUCUGUUCUUCGCAUGGGGGUUGGUGGAAAGGGCUUUUUUGGUGGGGGAUGGGCUCGCGGCCUAUCAGCUUGUUGGUGGGGUGAUGGCCUACCAAGGCUUUGACGGGUAGCCGGCCUGAGAGGGUGACCGGUCACAUUGGGACUGAGAUGCGGCCCAGACUCCGACGGGAGGCAGCAGUGGGGAAUAUUGCACAAUGGGCGCAAGCCUGAUGCAGCGACGCCGCGUGAGGGAUGGAGGCCUUCGGGUUGUGAACCUCUUUCGCUCAUGGUCAAGCCGCAACAAUGGUUGUGGUGAGGGUAGUGGGUAAAGAAGCGCCGGCUAACUACGUG